ensembl:lncRNA
UUAACAGGUCAAGAGCAGUCACUGAGUGCCCUCUGUGAACUUGGCACUGUGAUAUCACCAUGUUACCUUAAGUGCAGGACUUGAGAAGAUUUUGGGAGCAGAGGUAUCCUACAGGCUGGUUGUUUGAAACCAAUCCAUCAAUGAUUGAAUCUGGCAAAAUUCCCUUAUCUUUGAAAUUGCCUGGAAAUGAGGUUGUACAGUGGAAUCACCCAAACGUUGGGAUGAAGUUUUUUUCUCAAAUAAAGAAAGGAGGCCCUUGUACUUACCAGCUGUGACAUAUGGCACAUCUGAGAAUGCUGUUUACACAGAGGCGAGUGCCUGUCUUGCUGUAACUCACCCUGCAAUGAACAACUUUAUCCACAGACCAUCUGCAAUAUAAUAUGGUUGACUCUGAAGGAGAGUCAAAGAAUAUGGACACUUUGCUGCCUUGCGCCAAAAUAACUCUGAAAAACUAUCCCACUUUAGAGUAUAUAAGUCAUACACAUAUUAUUUAUCCAUCUACCUAUAAACUUAUAUCCUUUCCA